rnacentral:rRNA from 1 species
UGAGUAACACGUGAGGAACCUGCCUUGCAGAGGGGGAUAACAUCUGGAAACGGAUGCUAAUACCGCAUGACACCAUUGGGGGGCAUCCCCUGAUGGUCAAAGAUUUAUCGCUGCAAGAUGGCCUCGCGGUCGAUUAGAUAGUUGGCGGGGUAACGGCCCACCAAGUCGACGAUCGAUAGCCGGACUGAGAGGUUGAUCGGCCACAUUGGGACUGAGACACGGCCCAGACUCCUACGGGAGGCAGCAUG